rnacentral:rRNA from 1 species
UACAGAGGGGGCAAGCGUUAUUCGGAAUUACUGGGCGUAAAGCGUGCGCAGGCGGUUUUGUAAGCCAGACGUGAAAUCCCCGGGCUUAACCUGGGAAUGGCAUUUGGGACUGCAAGGCUUGAGUGCGGCAGAGGAGACUAGAAUUCCUGGUGUAGCAGUGAAAUGCGUAGAUAUCAGGAGGAACACCUAUGGCGAAGGCAGCUCGCUGGGACGGUACUGACGCUGAGACGCGAAAGCGUGGGGAGCGAACAGG